ACAUAUUGGGCGCUUUCAGCAGAAAGAUCGGUAGCGUAAGUAGCUCCGCUACUGAUAGGUAUCAGUUUGGUAACGUUGAUUUUCUCUGCUGGACGGGUUGCUCCUUUUUUUGACUGUCAGUUCUGUGGUUCCUUCUUGAAGGUUAUGUUAUGAUUAAAAAUAACUUUCUGUUAUAUUAUAGAUUUUAAUUUCUAAGUUUGCUUUCGCCCUUCGAUACUAUUACUCUUUUAUUGCAACACCCAUAGAUAAGGCAACACCUUCCAAACCUUGAUCAUGGAUUUGAGAGUUAUUCCAUUCAUUUUUGAUGACGACGAAGAAAUAAAUAUAAUCAAUACAAUAAUUGGACCUGUUCUAAAGUUGGCUGAGCCUUUGCCUAAUUUGGAAAGUUAAAAUAGAGCAUUUAUUCCAAAAAAUGAAAAUUUUUAUGAAAAUACAAUUCCUCUUUACAUGGGAGAUCUAUUCAAAGAACAUUUCAGAAUAUCCCGAACAGCUUUUGAUGAUCUUUCCCAUAUUAUCGCUGCAAAUUCGAGCGGUCCACAUAAAAUUCCUUUGGAAAAAAAAAUGUUAUUCACACUUUAGAUGAUCGCAAAGCAGGAAUGCUAUUUAGCAAGUGGUGACCGCUUUGGGCUUUCUCAUGAGUAGAAUCCCUGUUCUAAGUUUUUAGGUACAAAUAUACUUAUUGUAUUGAACCAAAAGUAAUCAAGGAAAAAUAUAUUUUUUUU